rnacentral:tRNA from 1 species
ACAGAUUAGUUUCAGUUAUCUGAACAAUAAAUUAUUGAUGAUAAUUAUUCCUAAAUCGGAAUUAGGAAGUUGUA